CCCUCUGUGUAAAAUGAGAGCUCACAGGAAUGUCAGUGUAGGACAAGCAGAAAAGUCAGAAUACUGCUCUGUAGCAAAACUGCUCAUCCCUACACUUCUGCUAGGAUGUAUCUGUACACUGGACCCUGGAGAUGGAAAUGAAGAAAUGUGCCAUUAAACUAACAUUUCUGAUAAACGUGGCUGAAGGAAUGGAAUGAGAGAAUUGCUGGAAGCAAUAAAUUAUUUCCCAGGAAGACCUACUGACGAUCAUAACUAAUGACACUUAAAACCUGAAGGGUGAAAAAGUAGUGUGGACCAUCCAUUCUUUACCAUGGCAAAUCUAACAUCAUCGGAAGAGAUCUGGGCAGUACAUUCUGGCCAAGGAGACAACAUUCAGGAUGCCCUUUCUAUCACCCACCAAAGCAGCUGAGGGGCUCCUGUUACAGAGCAGACAGCACUGACAGAGGUUCUGCUUGCCAAUGCUCGCUAGCAACACUGGAAGCAGGCUGGACUUCUUUGUGAGAUCUGGUGUGCUGCUGAGACUGCACUUGGGAGCCAG